rnacentral:rRNA from 1 species
GACAGAGGGGGCAAGCGUUGUCCGGAGUAACUGGGCGUAAAGCGCGUUCAGGCGGUUUGGCAAGUCGGGCAUGAAAUCUCUCGGCUCAACCGGGAGAGGUUGUCCGAUACUGCUGGACUUGAGGGCAGUAGAGGGUGGUGGAAUUCCGGGUGUAGUGGUGAAAUGCGUAGAUAUCCGGAGGAACACCAGUGGCGAAAGCGGCCGCCUGGACUGGCACCUGACGCUGACACGCGAAAGCUAGGGGAGCGAACGGG